AUGGUGGUGAUGACGGUGAUGGCGAAGUAGAAGGAGCCGGCGAAGCGCCACUGCACGCCGGCCUUGUGCGGCUUGAGGCGCAGCACGACGCGCUCCAGCUCCUCGUAGCCGCCCUGGCUGAGGUUGUAGCGCGCCCGCAGCUCCUGCUGCCGCAGCUCCAGCCGCUGCCGCUCGAUCAUCUCUGGCUCCGACUCGAGCGCGUCGAAGACCGCGGCGCCCACCAGCAGGAGUGUAAUCUGGGCAAGAGGGAUUUUCUUCCAUCAUAUCAGUGAAGACAUUGAGGCCCCGAGGGACCAGGUGACUGAGCGCAGAGGGGGUAAGAGGUAGAAGAGAAAAGAUCCAUUCUGGAGCUCAGC